rnacentral:rRNA from 1 species
AGCGUAACAGCUCACUGGUCAAGCGAUCCUGCGCGGAAAAUGUAACGGGGCUCAAGCCAGUCGCCGAAGGUAUGGGUGUGCGUAAGCACGCGGUAGCGGAGCGUUCCGUAAGCCUGUGAAGGUCAGUCGUGAGGGUGGCUGGAGGUAUCGGAAGUGAGAAUGCUGACAUGAGUAGCGACAAAGAGUGUGAGAGACACUCUCGCCGAAAGUCCAAGGGUUCCUGCGUAAAGCUAAUCUGCGCAGGGUUAGCCGGCCCCUAAGGCGAGGCCGAAAGGCGUAGUCGAUGGGAACCAGGUGAAUAUUCCUGGGCCAGUUGGAGGUGACGAAUUCCGUAAAUUGUCAGGGCUUAUUGGAUUGUCCUGGCAGUGAAGGAGUUCCUGGAAAUAACCCCAACGGAGACCGUACCCGAAACCGACACAGGUGGACAGGUAGAGUAUACCAAGGCGCUUGAGAGAACUAUGCUGAAGGAACUCGGCAAAUUGCACGCGUAACUUCGGGAUAAGCGUGACUCUAUUUUGGGCAACCAGAUGAGAGUGGCACAGGCCAGGGGGUAGCGACUGUUUAUCAAAAACACAGGGCUCUGCUAAGUCGGCUUCAAGACGACGUAUAGGGUGUGACGCCUGCCCGGUGCUGGAAGAUUAAUAGGAGGGGUGCAAGCUCUUGAUUGAAGUCCCAGUAAACGGCGGCCGUAACUAUAACGGUCCUAAGGUAGCGAAAUUCCUUGUCGGGUAAGUUCCGACCUGCACGAAUGGCGUAACGAUGGCCACACUGUCUCCUCCUGAGACUCAGCGAAGUUGAAAUGUUUGUGAAGAUGCAAUCUCCCCGCGGAAAGACGGAAAGACCCCAUGAACCUUUACUGUAGCUUUGCAUUGGACUUUGAACGGAUCUGUGUAGGAUAGGUGGGAGGCUUUGAAGUGGGGACGCUAGUUCUCAUGGAGCCAACGUUGAAAUACCACCCUGGUGCGUUUGAGGUUCUAACCUCGGUCCGUUAUCCGGAUCGGGGACAGUGUAUGGUGGGCAGUUUGACUGGG